rnacentral:lncRNA from 1 species
UUAUAUUCAAAACUGAAGAAAUUGGGGACAACAAGCAUCGACCAUGGCUAGCCUCCAGCUCAAGACUGGCUUGACUUCCUCAUUGACCACAACAAGGCCGGUUGCACCCAAAGGCCUUUCUGGUUCACCUCUUAGGCUCUUCCCUUCUUCCCAGAGGUCUUCCUCCACUAUCAAGGCAGUAAAAACCGACAAGGUCGUUUCUUCUUUUCAUUUUUCUGUGAUUUUUAAGAUUUUAUUUAAUAGGGCAAUUUACUGAAUGCCCAUGUUGGGGAUCCACGAUCUGCUCAGUGCUCAUCAAUCGAGCUAGAUUGAUUUCAAAUGCUUUAGUUGGUGGUAUUUGCCUUAUAUGAUGAUUUCCUGAAGGUUAUGCCUUUAAAUUUUACUUUUCAUGUUGUCGGUUUAUUGAGAAUUAGUAACUAAUUUCAAGAUUUAUCGUAGUAUUGUAAGGAAAAGCUGAUUUUAAUUUAUUCAAAUGCUUCAUACUUUUCCUUAAGAUAAUGCAUAUGUUCUAGUUGUUUUACUAGAAAUAUGAUGCUCACGAUUGAGCCAUUGCCCAUUGUUGAAGGUUAUAAUGGUCUUUUUUUUUUCUUUAUAGAUAUGAGAAAGUACCAUAGUAAAAACUUAGAACUAGUUAUGGUUUUCAUGUCAUAGAGGCUUGUGGAUCCUUUCGGUUACAUCACAUGUAUUAAUUAUGUCGGGCAUAACCACGUAUUUUUUCUAGUUCUAUUUGUAUUUUCUGUUUGCUAAUACGAUAAAACUAUGCAGCCUACAUUCCAAGUCGUCCAACCCAUCAAUGGUGACCCGUUCAUUGGAAGUCUCGAGACUCCAGUGACAUCGAGCCCACUAAUUGCAUGGUACCUUUCAAAUCUUCCAGGAUACCGGACCGCUGUGAACCCAUUGCUCCGAGGCAUUGAGGUCGGGCUAGC